UUCUCUAAAAUUCAAACAAGAACUCGCAUCUCACUACGAAAUUCUCCAUCACUUCGCAUUCGCAAUGGAAUGACCUUGAUUUGGCAUUCUGUAAACACUAAUCUUAAUUACCCUGCCUCGAGCGAAGUGAAGUGACAACGAAGUUUGUUUACAAUACUACUAGGGAUAGCCGUAUACACGCAAAUGUAAAUCGAAGCUUACCGGUUUCAGUUUUUCUUUGUAUUUAGAAGCAUUCUGUAAGAAAAUACUAUGAAUUUAAGCUUUGGUGUCUAAACCACAUCUAAUAUAUCUAAAAAUAAAAUUAAAAGUCAUAUAUUUAUGAAAUUAAUUGUAAUUUCUGGCUGUACGCUAAGUUCCUUUGCGUGCACUGACGAAUACCAGAAUUAAAAAACAAAAUUUUAAUUGUUUUCAAAACAAUUUCGAGCGGUCGGAAGUUUUAAUUUUGCUUUUUCUAGAUUUGUUGUUACUUUGUGAGUGAAUUUAACGUUAAAUAAAAAUUAUGAGAUUUAAAGAGCGUUCUUCUCAUCCGACAUUGGCGCAAAUAGAGGCAUUGAUAAACGUUUUGGGUUAAAAGCUAGCGAAACAAAAGGAUUAAUCGAAUCUCAACAUGUUCAAUAAGAGAACAAGGAUAUUAAAAAAAUAUAGGAACUAAAUUCUCUUGUCAGUUAAGAUCCAUUCCCGGUGAGAUAUUUAGGACAUGUUAACAUAUAUUUAUGUAUGAUAUAUCUAUCUACUACGUUUUUAUUGAUGUUCUAUUUUAACAGGGCAUGAAGGUAAUUUAUUUGUAUCUCAAAUUCACCAACAAAAAAAUUAUUUUGAAUUAAAUAAAUCAAAUCAUUAACAAUUUAGGUAUUGCAAGUUAGAUUGAUGUUGUUGGAAUGUAUUUAUUGAUGCAGAGGUGACUGUAUCUAUGGUAAAGGGUGUGCAUACUGGUACAGGGGUGGCAGGCAGUGCCAGAGUAUUGACUAAACUGACAUUAUGUUGGCUAAAGGCUGCAUACUCAGUUUAAAAUAAAUGAACAAAAUUUAGGCAUAACCUAUUUUAUUAUAUUUAAGGAACUACAACAGAUUGAAAAUACUAAUCCACAUCAUCAGAAUAUUGUAAGGAGAAUUUAUAGCCAACUCGGAAAAUGUAUCAGUAUUGGAACAAUCGCAAACAUACAGCAUUGCAUCAAGAAUCACCUAUUUUGCAGUCAUCAUCCUCUAACUAAAUGCAAGUAACUUCUACUUAUUGUGAUGCUACUACUAGUAGCUCCAGCCACAGUAGGUCUCACAUGUUAGUCAAGAGAUUGGGUUGAUAUGUGUUUAUUCAGGUCAAAGUACCUAUUCAUUGAACCACCAUAUUAGGGACAUUGAUUUGUGUAUAAUGCUGUUACUUGUAAAUAAAAACAUUUUGUUGCAUGUAUUGUAAACAUUGUAUUUUACCUAACCUUGUUUUUAAAUAAUUUUUUUUUUUUU